rnacentral:tRNA from 1 species
GAGUUGCAGCUCAGUGGUAGAGCACUUGCCUGGCAUAUGUGAGGCCCUGGGUUUGAUUCUCAGCACCACA